rnacentral:antisense_RNA from 1 species
CGUCACGGCGGAUCGCAUGGGGAGACCUUCGGGUCUGCCGGCCCCUACUAGCCGGCUCGCCAACCCCAUGCGAUCCGCCG